rnacentral:rRNA from 1 species
UACGGAGGGUGCAAGCGUUGUCCGGAAUUACUGGGCGUAAAGCGUGCGCAGGCGGUUUUGUAAGCCAGAUGUGAAAUCCCCGGGCUUAACCUGGGAAUGGCAUUUGGGACUGCAAGGCUUGAGUGCGGCAGAGGAGACUGGAAUUCCUGGUGUAGCAGUGAAAUGCGUAGAUAUCAGGAGGAACACCGAUGGCGAAGGCAGGUCUCUGGGCUGACACUGACGCUCAUGCACGAAAGCGUGGGGAGCAAACAGG